AGGAAGUGGUGUAACUGAAAAAGCUACAGAGCCAACAGAAGAUAGUAUCCACCUCCUUCCAGGUCUGUCUUUGAAAAAGCUCACAGGGGUGGGAUUUGGGAUAUAGCCCGUACCAACUUGUUGCAACAGAAGCUCCACCAACUGGUGGAAUUGCCCUGGAAUUCUGCAAUACCACAGAUGGGGAGGCUUGAAUAUUCCUGGACUGACUCAGCCUGUUCACUUUGCCUGGCUUGUAAGACAAUAGACGAUUCUUUCUUGCUCGUGGAGAUCCAAAAUUAAAAGUAAAG